rnacentral:rRNA from 1 species
AUUGAACGCUGGCGGCAGGCCUAACACAUGCAAGUCGAGCGAGCGGCGGACGGGUGAGUAAUGUAUGGGGACUGCCCGAUAGAGGGGGAUAACUCCUGGAAACGGUAGCUAAUACCGCAUACUAUCGGAUAACCCAUAUGGGAUUAGCUAUGAGGUGAGGUAAUGGCUCACUUAGGCGACGAUCCCUAGCUGGUCUGAGAGGAUGAACAGCCACACUUGGACUGAGACACGGCCCAGACUCCUACGGAGGCAGCAGUGGGGAUGAUUGCACAAUGGGCGCAAGCCUGAUGCAGCCAUGCCGCGUGUAUGAAGAAGGCCUUAGGGUUGUAAAGUACUUUCAGUCGGGAGGCGUUACCGACAGAAGAAGCACCGGCUAACUCCGUGCCAGCAGCCGCGGUAAUAC